rnacentral:pre_miRNA from 1 species
UUAACUCAAAUUUGUAUGCAAUUGGAACAGCGCCCCUAGCGGCAAACGUAGGCAAACGUUCCAACUCCAUACAAAUAUUUGUUA